rnacentral:misc_RNA from 1 species
GUGAAUCAUCGAAUUUUUGAACGCAAAUUGCGCUUCCUGGCAUCCCGGGAAGUAUGCCCGUUUGAGGGUCAGUAUUAACAAAAAAUCGGUGUGGUUGCUGCCUUUCGUGGUGACGCACCGGAUUUGGGUCGUCUUGCCUUCGGUUAAGUGACCUAAAAUUUUGCAUGAUUUUUUCGAACGUAUUUAAAUGUUUUUACGUACGUUUCCGAUAUCAAAUACUAGGUGCGGUCAUCCUCAUGAUUCGCGCCUA